rnacentral:lncRNA from 1 species
AAACCUAAUUUAAGUUGGACUCCAAAUUUGAUUGGUUUUCAACUAACUUUGACCUAAUCCAUAAGAGACUUCAUGCCUAAGAAAGAGGGAUGCCCAAGUGUUUAAUGUGAUGUUUUUUUUUUCACAUAGCAAAAGUAUGGGCAUGGAGGGGAUAUAAGAGGCACCUUGUUUUUAGGGCCUUAUGGUGUUGGGCGGCACAUAAG